rnacentral:rRNA from 1 species
CUCAGCCCUAAACAUAGAUAGCAAACACACAAUGCCAUCCGCCAGAGAACUACAAGUGAAAAACUAGAAACUCCAAGGACUUGGCGGUGCUCCAUACCGACCUAGAGGAGCCUGUCCUAUAAUCGAUAAUCCACGCUAUACCUCACCACUCCUUGCAACUCAGCCUAUAUACCGCCGUCGUCAGCCUACCUUAUGAAAGAAAUAAAGUAAGCAUAAUAGUUAAUAACUAAAACGUCAGGUCAAGGUGUAGCACAUGGAAUGGAAGAGAUGGGCUACACUUUCUAACACAGAAUAUACGGAUAAUUCCAUGAAACUGGAACCAAAAGGCGGAUUUAGCAGUAAGAUAGACAAGAAAAUUUAUCUGAAACUCGCUCUGGAACGCGCACACACCGCC